rnacentral:rRNA from 1 species
GCGUGCUUACCAUGCAAGUCGAACGGAAAGGCCCCUUCGGGGGUACUCGAGUGGCGAACGGGUGAGUAACACGUGGGCAAUCUGCCCUGCACUUCGGGAUAAGCCUGGGAAACUGGGUCUAAUACCGGAUAGGACCUUUAGGCGCAUGUCUUUAGGUGGAAAGCUUUUGCGGUGUGGGAUGGGCCCGCGGCCUAUCAGCUUGUUGGUGGGGUGAUGGCCUACCAAGGCGACGACGGGUAGCCGGCCUGAGAGGGUGUCCGGCCACACUGGGACUGAGAUACGGCCCAGACUCCUACGGGAGGCAGCAGUGGGGAAUAUUGCACAAUGGGCGCAAGCCUGAUGCAGCGACGCCGCGUGGGGGAUGACGGCCUUCGGGUUGUAAACCUCUUUCACCAUCGACGAAGGUCCGGGUUUUCUCGGAUUGACGGUAGGUGGAGAAGAAGCACCGGCCAACUACGUGCCAGCAGCCGCGGUAAUACGUAGGGUGCGAGCGUUGUCCGGAAUUACUGGGCGUAAAGAGCUCGUAGGUGGUUUGUCGCGUUGUUCGUGAAAUCUCACGGCUUAACUGUGAGCGUGCGGGCGAUACGGGCAGACUAGAGUACUGCAGGGGAGACUGGAAUUCCUGGUGUAGCGGUGGAAUGCGCAGAUAUCAGGAGGAACACCGGUGGCGAAGGCGGGUCUCUGGGCAGUAACUGACGCUGAGGAGCGAAAGCGUGGGGAGCGAACAGGAUUAGAUACCCUGGUAGUCCACGCCGUAAACGGUGGGUACUAGGUGUGGGUUUCCUUCCUUGGGAUCCGUGCCGUAGCUAACGCAUUAAGUACCCCGCCUGGGGAGUACGGCCGCAAGGCUAAAACUCAAAGGAAUUGACGGGGGCCCGCACAAGCGGCGGAGCAUGUGGAUUAAUUCGAUGCAACGCGAAGAACCUUACCUGGGUUUGACAUGCACAGGACGCGUCUAGAGAUAGGCGUUCCCUUGUGGCCUGUGUGCAGGUGGUGCAUGGCUGUCGUCAGCUCGUGUCGUGAGAUGUUGGGUUAAGUCCCGCAACGAGCGCAACCCUUGUCUCAUGUUGCCAGCGGGUAAUGCCGGGGACUCGUGAGAGACUGCCGGGGUCAACUCGGAGGAAGGUGGGGAUGACGUCAAGUCAUCAUGCCCCUUAUGUCCAGGGCUUCACACAUGCUACAAUGGCCGGUACAAAGGGCUGCGAUGCCGCAAGGUUAAGCGAAUCCUUUUAAAGCCGGUCUCAGUUCGGAUUGGGGUCUGCAACUCGACCCCAUGAAGUCGGAGUCGCUAGUAAUCGCAGAUCAGCAACGCUGCGGUGAAUACGUUCCCGGGCCUUGUACACACCGCCCGUCACGUCAUGAAAGUCGGUAACACCCGAAGCCAGUGGCCUAACC